rnacentral:rRNA from 1 species
GACGAACGCUGGCGGCGUGCUUAACACAUGCCAGUCGAACGGAAAGGCUCCAGCUUGCUGGAGUGCUCGAGUGGCGAACGGGUGAGUAACACGUGGGCAAUCUGCCCUGCACUCUGGGAUAAGCCUGGGAAACUGGGUCUAAUACCGGAUAGGACCUUUCUCCUCAUGGGGUUUGGUGGAAAGUUUUUCGGUGCAGGAUGAGCCCGCGGCCUAUCAGCUUGUUGGUGGGGUAAUGGCCUACCAAGGCGACGACGGGUAGCCGGCCUGAGAGGGUGAUCGGCCACAUUGGGACUGAGAUACGGCCCAGACUCCUACGGGAGGCAGCAGUGGGGAAUAUUGCACAAUGGGCGAAAGCCUGAUGCAGCGACGCCGCGUGAGGGAUGACGGCCUUCGGGUUGUAAACCUCUUUCAGUAGGGACGAAGCGCAAGUGACGGUACCUGCAGAAGAAGCACCGGCUAACUACGUG